UAACGCGUUAAAUCGACCGCCUGGGGAGUACGGCCGCAAGGUUAAAACUCAAAUGAAUUGACGGGGGCCCGCACAAGCGGUGGAGCAUGUGGUUUAAUUCGAUGCAACGCGAAGAACCUUACCUACUCUUGACAUCCAGAGAACUUUCCAGAGAUGGAUUGGUGCCUUCGGGAACUCUGAGACAGGUGCUGCAUGGCUGUCGUCAGCUCGUGUUGUGAAAUGUUGGGUUAAGUCCCGCAACGAGCGCAACCCUUAUCCUUUGUUGCCAGCGGUUCGGCCGGGAACUCAAAGGAGACUGCCAGUGAUAAACUGGAGGAAGGUGGGGAUGACGUCAAGUCAUCAUGGCCCUUACGAGUAGGGCUACACACGUGCUACAAUGGCAUAUACAAAGAGAAGCGACCUCGCGAGAGCAAGCGGACCUCAUAAAGUAUGUCGUAGUCCGGAUUGGAGUCUGCAACUCGACUCCAUGAAGUCGGAAUCGCUAGUAAUCGUAGAUCAGAAUGCUACGGUGAAUACGUUCCCGGGCCUUGUACACACCGCCCGUCACACCAUGGGAGUGGGUUGCAAAAGAAGUAGGUAGCUUAACCUUCGGGAGGGCGCUUACCACUUUGUGAUUCAUGACUGGGGUG
rnacentral:rRNA from 1 species